AGCUGCACCACCUGAGCCACUUUUUACAUUUUUACAUUACAUUACAUGUCAUUUGGCAGACGCUUUUGUCCAAAGCGACUUACAAUAAGUGCAUUCAACCUGAUGGUACUAGACAUAGACCAUAGGAAUCAAGUAAGUGGGUUGUAGACUCCGUCUCAUGCUACCACUAGAGUGAAAGCACCGCCAGCAUUCAAAAGUGACCAAAACAUCAGCCAGAAAGCUCUCAUAGGAACUGAGAAGUGGUCUGUGGUCACCACCUGCAGAACCACUCCUUUAUUGGGGGUGUCUUGCUAAUUGUCAAUCAGUGUUGCUUCUUAAGUGGACAGUUUGAUUGCACAGAGGUGUGAUUGACUUGGAGUGACAUUGUGUUGUUUAAGUGGUCCCUUUAUUUUUUUGAGCAGUGUAUAUAGUGAAAUUAUAUUAGGAGACUCCAUACUGGCUCAAAUUUUCAGUAGAAAGUUGAAACCUGCAGUAAGCUUUGCUCUCCACUAGAGACCACCAGAGCUUUUUUUAGUAGGUUUGUAUGUUUUUUUAUGCUGCAUGAUCGUGUGUAACUGCAAAUUAUUUCUAAUAAUUUAUAUUGUCACUGGAUCAGAACGAACAACUCACGCGUGAUAAAUUAUGAAUCCCUCGUUUCUUAAAACGUGGUUCAUACCAUGUCUUGAAUGUUUAGGAAUUGUUUAACAUCUUUUUCUCAAACAUGAGAAUGACAGUUCCUAUGGUAAAACAAGCAUUUAGUGAUGUUUUGGGAUUACAUACUAAACAAAAUGACCUUUUAAAUGCAAAAAGGUCCCUAAAAGUGCCACAUAUACUAAAAGAUAACCGCAGUCCUAUGCAUGUUUGUGUCAAUAUAGCAUUUUAUUUUGGUCCACUGAUUUAAUCAACCUCUUAUUUUAAAAAACUAAACUAAACAACUGAGGCAGAUGUAAAAAUACCAAAUCAAAAAAAUUGACUUUAAACAAAGUUCUGCAAACGUAUUCAUCUAAUUUCAUAGUGGACAUAAUAAGACAGCACAAAUUAAGCAAACAAAGUAAAAGCACUUUUUACUUAUAUAUUCCCACAUUGUAACAAAAAAUGAGCAAUUACUCCUUUUUAGUCAGCAGCUAAAACAGUGCACACCAUGAUCCUUAAAGUCCAAGAGGCAAAACUUCUUCGAGAAAGUUGAGUGUUAUUUCUGUGUGACGGGGAAUGAAUUCUGGUCCAUUAACUCGCCAACCCUCUCCUGGAGGGUCUGAACCACCUCUGCCAGUA